rnacentral:rRNA from 1 species
AGUACGGUCGCAAGAUUAAAACUCAAAGGAAUAGACGGGGACCCGCACAAGUGGUGGAGCAUGUGGUUUAAUUCGAAGAUACGCGAAGAACCUUACCUAGCCUUGACAUAUAUUAGAAUCACCCAGAGAUGGGAGAGUGCCUUCGGGAGCUUUUAUACAGGUGCUGCACGGCUGUCGUCAGCUCGUGUCGUGAGAUGUUGGGUUAAGUCCCGCAACGAGCGCAACCCUCGUCACUAGUUACUAACGGUUCGGCCGAGGACUCUAGUGAGACUGCCUUCGUAAGGAGGAGGAAGGUGAGGACGACGUCAAGUCAUCAUGGCCCUUACGGCUAGGGCAACACACGUGCUACAAUGGCCAGGACAGUGAGAAGCGAUACCGUGAGGUGGAGCAAAUCUAUAAACCUGGUCUCAGUUCGGAUUGUAGUCUGCAACUCGACUACAUGAAGCUGGAAUCACUAGUAAUCGUAGAUCAGCUAUGCUACGGUGAAUACGUUCCCGGGUCUUGUACUCACCGCCCGUCACACCAUGGGAGUUGAUUUCACCCGAAGCGGGGAAGCUAAACUGGCUACCCUCCACGGUGGAAUUAGCGACUGGGGUGAAGUCGUAACAAGGUA